GAGGGAUAUUGGUCAAUGGGUGCAAGCCUGAACCAGCCAUCCCGCGUGAAGGACGACUGCCCUAUGGGUUGUAAACUUCUUUUGUAUGGGGAUAAACCUACCCUCGUGAGGGUAGCUGAAGGUACUAUACGAAUAAGCACCGGCUAACUCCGUGCCAGCAGCCGCGGUAAUACGGAGGGUGCAAGCGUUAUCCGGAUUUAUUGGGUUUAAAGGGUCCGUAGGCGGACUUAUAAGUCAGUGGUGAAAGCCUGUCGCUUAACGAUAGAACUGCCAUUGAUACUGUAAGUCUUGAGUAUAGUUGAGGUAGCUGGAAUAAGUAGUGUAGCGGUGAAAUGCAUAGAUAUUACUUAGAACACCAAUUGCGAAGGCAGGUUACCAAGAUAUAACUGACGCUGAGGGACGAAAGCGUGGGGAGCGAACA
rnacentral:rRNA from 1 species